AGAUCUACUUCUGGGCCUUUCAAAGUCCCUUCAACCUUAGGGACAGACACAUCAAAAUCUCCUUUUACUUUGGGUCCUUUCAAAUCCAGGUCAACAUCAGGCAUGGAGAUCUUGGGGGCUUUGAUGCUCAUCUCAGGCAUCUUGAACUUGGGGCCCUUUAGUUUCGCAUCUGGACCUUCGAUAUUCACAUCAGGAACAUCAACGUCCACUUUGGGUCCUGAGACAUCAAUGUCAGCCUUGGGCAGGUUCACAUCCACAUCUGGGCCCUCUCCUUUGAAGCCAGGCAUGCUGAACUUGGGCAUUUUCACCUUGGGCAUCUUCAGGUGCCAGUCUGGACCCUGAACAUUAACAUCUGGGACAUCAAUGUCCACUUUGGGGCCUUUGAGGUCAACUUCAGGACCUUUCAGAUCUCCCUCUACC
rnacentral:lncRNA from 1 species